rnacentral:rRNA from 1 species
GACGAACGCUGGCGGCGUGCUUAACACAUGCAAGUCGAACGGAAAGGCCCUGCUUUUGUGGGGUGCUCGAGUGGCGAACGGGUGAGUAACACGUGAGUAACCUGCCCUUGACUUUGGGAUAACUUCAGGAAACUGGGGCUAAUACCGGAUAGGAGCUCCUGCUGCAUGGUGGGGGUUGGAAAGUUUCGGCGGUUGGGGAUGGACUCGCGGCUUACCAGCUUGUUGGUGGGGUAGUGGCUUACCAGGGCUUUGACGGGUAGCCGGCCUGGGAGGGGGACAGGCCCCAGAGGCCUACGGGUGGGGCCCGUACUCAUUCGGGCGCCAGGGGCGGGAACUUUUCCGCACUGGGCCGCGUCCGGGAUGAACAACGCCGGAUGGGGAAAGUCGGCUUUUGGGGUAGAACCCGUUUGUGCCUGACAAGGCGCGUGGUGACGGUAACUGGGUAAAAAGCCACGGCUAACUUCGUU